rnacentral:misc_RNA from 1 species
GAUGAAGAACGCAGCGAAAUGCGAUAAGUAAUGUGAAUUGCAGAAUUCAGUGAAUCAUCGAAUCUUUGAACGCACCUUGCGCUCUCUGGUAUUCCGGAGAGCAUGCCUGUUUGAGUAUCAUGAAAUCUCAACCAUUAGGGUUUCUUAAUGGCUUGGAUUUGGGCGUUGCCAGUUGCCUGGCUCGCCUUAAAAGAGUUAGCGUGUUUAACUUGUCAUAUCUGGCGUAAUAAGUUUCGCUGGUGUACGACUUGAGAAGUGCGCUUCUAAUCGUCCUCGGACAAUUCUUGAACUCUGGUCUCAAAUCAGGUAGGACUACCCGCUGAACUUAAGCAUAUCAAUAAGCGGAGGA